rnacentral:lncRNA from 1 species
ACUUGUCAGUGAAAGAAGAGCUUGCAUCUGCUUGAUGUCUUUUGGAUCAAGUCAUCUGCCAGCCAAAGCAGUCUCUUCUUGCCUGCUUCCAAGAGGAGAUGAAAUGUUCUCCUGUUCAGUGUAUGCGGAAGAGAUUGGAGCUGAGUUGCUAUCUUCGUAACAGCAAAACUACAGCGAGAUCUGAAUUCUUUGUUCAUGUUUCAUCGCCUGCUUUGAGGCAAGCAGUGGUGAUGAGAUCAGACAUCAGCCGUAGGGUGUUCCUCAUUACAAGGUCUCAGCAACACUGUGCCAGUCUGGGCAAGAAAUGUGCUUCCUCUUCUUCCACUGAGCAGGACACAGCUGAGCUGUCCAGCAGACAACUCAGUGCCUUCCUGCAGCUUUGCUACCAGUUUUUGAAGGGAAGCCCUGCUUUGCAAUCAGGAAGUUGCUUGUUCUGUGAUGAGCAUUGCUGCUGCCCCAGAGGGAGGGGAUGGCGCUGUCUGGAUGGACUUCAGAUCUACAGAAGGAACUUGCUGUUGGUACUCCACCCUAGAUCCAGUCUGCAACUGGAAAAGUUUCUUGAUUCACUGCAGACUUCGGAUUUAGGAGCCAAGAGAUGA